rnacentral:rRNA from 1 species
GACGAACGCUGGCGGCGUGCUUAACACAUGCAAGUCGAACGGAAAGGCCCUGCUUUUGUGGGGUGCUCGAGUGGCGAACGGGUGAGUAACACGUGAGUAACCUGCCCUUGACUUUGGGAUAACUUCAGGAAACUGGGGCUAAUACCGGAUAGGAGCUCCUGCUGCAUGGUGGGGGUUGGAAAGUUUCGGCGGUUGGGGAUGGACUCGCGGCUUAUCAGCUUGUUGGUGGGGUAGUGGCUUACCAAGGCUUUGACGGGUAGCCGGCCUGAGAGGGUGACCGGCCACAUUGGGACUGAGAUACGGCCCAGACUCCUACGGGAGGCAGCAGUGGGGAAUAUUGCACAAUGGGCGGAAGCCUGAUGCAGCAACGCCGCGUGCGGGAUGACGGCCUUCGGGUUGUAAACCGCUUUCGCCUGUGACGAAGCGUGAGUGACGGUAAUGGGUGAAGAAGCACCGGCUAACUACGUGCCAGCAGCCGCGGUGAUACGUAGGGUGCGAGCGUUGUCCGGAUUUAUUGGGCGUAAAGGGCUCGUAGGUGGUUGAUCGCGUCGGAAGUGUAAUCUUGGGGCUUAACCCUGAGCGUGCUUUCGAUACGGGUUGACUUGAGGAAGGUAGGGGAGAAUGGAAUUCCUGGUGGAGCGGUGGAAUGCGCAGAUAUCAGGAGGAACACCAGUGGCGAAGGCGGUUCUCUGGGCCUUUCCUGACGCUGAGGAGCGAAAGCGUGGGGAGCGAACAGGCUUAGAUACCCUGGUAGUCCACGCUGUAAACGGUGGGUACUAGGUGUGGGGUCCAUUCCACGGGUUCCGUGCCGUAGCUAACGCUUUAAGUACCCCGCCUGGGGAGUACGGCCGCAAGGCUAAAACUCAAAGGAAUUGACGGGGCCCCGCACAAGCGGCGGAGCAUGCGGAUUAAUUCGAUGCAACGCGUAGAACCUUACCUGGGUUUGACAUGGAUCGGGAGUGCUCAGAGAUGGGUGUGCCUCUUUUGGGGUCGGUUCACAGGUGGUGCAUGGCUGUCGUCAGCUCGUGUCGUGAGAUGUUGGGUUAAGUCCCGCAACGAGCGCAACCCUUGUUCACUGUUGCCAGCACGUUAUGGUGGGGACUCAGUGGAGACCGCCGGGGUCAACUCGGAGGAAGGUGGGGAUGACGUCAAGUCACCAUGCCCCUUAUGUCCAGGGCUUCACGCAUGCUACAAUGGCUGGUACAGAGAGUGGCGAGCCUGUGAGGGUGAGCGAAUCUCGGAAAGCCGGUCUCAGUUCGGAUUGGGGUCUGCAACUCGACCUCAUGAAGUCGGAGUCGCUAGUAAUCGCAGAUCAGCAACGCUGCGGUGAAUACGUUCCCGGGUCU